CCUACGGGGUGCAGCAGUGAGGAAUAUUGGUCAAUGGACGAGAGUCUGAACCAGCCAAGUAGCGUGAAGGAUGACUGCCCUAUGGGUUGUAAACUUCUUUUAUAUGGGAAUAAAAUGUUCCACGUGUGGGAUUUUGUAUGUACCAUAUGAAUAAGGAUCGGCUAACUCCGUGCCAGCAGCCGCGGUAAUACGGAGGAUCCGAGCGUUAUCCGGAUUUAUUGGGUUUAAAGGGAGCGUAGGUGGAUUGUUAAGUCAGUUGUGAAAGUUUGCGGCUCAACCGUAAUAUUGCAGUUGAAACUGGCAGUCUUGAGUACAGUAGAGGUGGGCGGAAUUCGUGGUGUAGCGGUGAAAUGCUUAGAUAUCACGAAGAACUCCGAUUGCGAAGGCAGUUCACUGGACUGCAACUGACACUGAGGCUCGAAAGUGUGGGUAUCAAACAGGAUUAGAUACCCCAGUAGUC
rnacentral:rRNA from 1 species